UCAAAUAGUUGUGUGUGACUUUCUGGAAGUCGUAGGGGCGGUAUUAACUAAAGCCAGACGUGCAUGGUCUAUGUGUAACCAGCGCCACUUCUAGGUGGAGACCCAGCAGAAAUUGGUACCCAGGCUCCUCCAAACAUUUUCAGAGAACAUUUACAGAAACAGAACUCAUGAUGGGUCUAAGCUGGAAGCAGCCCAAAGGUCUUUCACUGGUCAACUGGACAAUACCGUGUGAGAUAUUUACAAAGCCGGCGAGGAUCCAGCAGUGAGUGAGAAGGAACUACGUUGACAGGAAACAGUGGGGAAGGAUUUCGCAGACAGUGCUGAGCAGAUGUGCAAAGGUUCACAUCCCGCAAGGUGUCCUCUGUAUGAAGUUCACGUGGUAAAGCUCUUCCUUGAGGCUGGAGGUCAGAGGGCGGUUACUUAAAGUCACGGAGGAGGUGACAGGCUUUGCAGUGCUGGCGAGCUCUGGACUGAGAGGUGGAGGGGGGCUCAGGAGAAGAAGGUCCACUGGUAAAAACACAUCACCAAGCUGUGCGCGAAAUCACAGGAGAACAUCUUUUUCUGCUAAGAUAACCUGGAGGAGAGAGAAAGAACGUGGCGACUGCUGCUGCUGCAGUAAGAUCCGCCCCCCAACACACACCCCCCUGCAUUUACCAAUCUUCAUUCUCCUUCCCGACACCUACUCUGCCCAAGUCUGAUCUUCCUCGGGAUUUCACUUGCGAGGAAGGUAAGAUUCCCAUUUGAAUGCUGCUUUGAAUGGAAAGUGCAAUCAGAUUUAAGAAUAUUUAAUGUGGCUGAAUUUUACAUUUGCUGACAAAAUAUGCUAAGUCAAAAGAAGAAUGUUGCAAGCUGUAGAUUACAAGAGCCUAACAUAUAGUAUUGUCUUUUUUUUUUUUUGGUCUUUUUAGGGCCGCACCCACAGCAUAUGGAAGUUCCCAGGCUAGGGGUCAAAUAGGAGCUGUGGCUGCUGGCCUACACUGCAGCCACAGCAACGCAUAUGCAACCUACACCACAGCUCAUAGCAACACUGGAUCUUGAACCCACUGAGAGAGGCCAGGGGUCGAAUCCACGUCCCCGUGGAUAUGAAUUGAGUUUGUUACCGCUGAGCCAAGUGUUGUCUUUUUAAUCUACACUCUGAGAAAUAUUUAAUAUGUAACUUUAUAUACAUAGUAUUGAUGUGAACAAACCCUUUUUGAACUAUGUAAAAUAUUCAUGACUUCAAAGACUUUC
rnacentral:lncRNA from 1 species